UACGUAGGGGGCAAGCGUUGUCCGGAUUUAUUGGGCGUAAAGAGCGUGUAGGCGGCUAGACAGGUCCGUUGUGAAAACUCGAGGCUCAACCUCGAGACGUCGACGGAAACCGUCUGGCUAGAGUCCGGAAGAGGAGUGUGGAAUUCCUGGUGUAGCGGUGAAAUGCGCAGAUAUCAGGAAGAACACCUAUGGCGAAGGCAGCACUCUGGGACGGUACUGACGCUGAGACGCGAAAGCGUGGGGAGCGAACAGG
rnacentral:rRNA from 1 species